rnacentral:rRNA from 1 species
UACGUAGGGUCCGAGCGUUGUCCGGAAUUACUGGGCGUAAAGAGCUCGUAGGUGGUUUGUCGCGUUGUUCGUGAAAACUCACAGCUUAACUGUGGGCGUGCGGGCGAUACGGGCAGACUUGAGUACUGCAGGGGAGACUGGAAUUCCUGGUGUAGGCGGUAGGAAUGCGCAGAUAUCAGGAGGAACACCGGUGGCGAAGGCGGGUCUCUGGGCAGUAACUGACGCUGAGGAGCGAAAGCGUGGGGAGCGAACAGG